rfam:Colletotrichum higginsianum, IMI 349063, WGS project CACQ02000000 data, contig: cont1.8938
ACAUAUGACCAUACCCACUGGAGAACUCGGGAUCCCGUCCGCUCUCCCAUAGAUAAGCCAGUGAGGGCCGGAUUAGUAGUUGGGUCGGUGACGACCAGCGAAUACAUGGUGUUGUACGUU